CAUUUCACACUUGUUUAGGCUUAAUUCUCAAAUCAACAACCAAACAAAAGGUUAGGUUUAAGUGCGUAACCUAUUAUGAGAUGGGCUGUUUAAGUUCCCAUUACAAUUCAGGUAUUGAAUACAAUACAUCUGAAUUGUUGUUUGGUGUAGAAGAAAAAUUCCUCCAGAUAUCUAUUCACAUUCAUCUUCCUCACCCAAUCAAGCAAUAAACCACCUAGCUCAUUCAAUUUCAGUAUUCACAAGGUAUAUCUCAAUCUCUGUGUGCUUAGAUUAUACUCCAUUUAAUUUGACAUUUCUUUAAAUAUAUAAUUUCUUUUUCGUCUUCUCACUCUAACCCCUAUCUUAAUUCAUUUUGUUUUUGUUGUUAAUGAUUUAUUGUGAUAUCUGAUUCUUUUAAGCUCUUGGUAGCAAAUCUCUCCUCUUACUCUCCCUCAAAGUAGGCCUUGUUCAAUUUCUUAUUUCUGUAAAAAUUGGCCUGCCCACUUGUCUAUAUAAUUAAAUGCAGAAUUAUUAAUCAUUCGUGGCUUUUUCUUAUAUCUAUUCUCUUAAAUUAUAGGAAUACAAAUACAAUAUUAAUUCGUUUAUGAUACUCGAUUCUAUUUUUUUUAUUAGUCUAUUAUAAUACUCAUUCACUAUUCUAUUCCAACAAUAAAUAAAUAAAUAAAUGAUCACCGAACCGAAUCAACGGUUGUGAUUCUCAAUCCAAUUUAAAUUAAAUAAUGAUUAAUUCAACCAAGCUCAAUCGAUUUUUUAUUCCAGUUCAAAAAAUUCACGAUCUAAUCAAUCUAGAUCCAACUAUGACCUACUAACAAACUUAUGUUUGUUUCUAUUCUUUAACACCAAAUUCAAUACUAAGAUUUAAGUUGAUGAACAAUUGCCAUAUGUAAACUUUGCCCAAUUAUAUUCCAAUUCUUAGUGUUAGUUUAAUGUUAAUUUAAUUCUAUUCUAUAGGUCAUAUAUUAUACAUAUAACCGUACUUUUUACCGGUAAACUCCUAAAAAAUUCCUAAACAAUCCUUUCCCAUCCCCUUCUUUACAAAUACCCAAAAAUGAUUCUUUUAAAAAAAAUUGAUUAAAUUAAGAAAUCAAAUUAACCACAAUUUUAAACCAAGAAAAAAACACCAAGCUCUGAUUGAUUGGAUCUUCCACCUGCCUUUCUUUUAACCAUGACAGAGAACAUUUAAAUUACUGAAAAUCAUGACAUUGAUUUUUUUUUUUUUUUUUUGUUGUAAAUUUUAGCUUAGUCUAAUACAACGCAUACAAAGAUAAAAUUAAACAGUGAUAACGUUCAUCCAUAAUUGCACGACCAACACUGACCUCAAACAAAUCCCCAACUCUUGUAAGGGGAAACACGUCAUGGUGUUUUUCUAUUACGACAGAUAAGGGGUAAAGUACAAUCAUCUCCUUGGUUUAUUAUUAUGACAAGCUAUCAUCAAUUCCUUAAAAUGUUCAAUGUCUUUCAUCAAAUUGAAAUUGGGUCUCAUAAAAUUUACUAACCUUAGAACAGGGGCAAGCUUGGUGGGAACCGCACAUGCAUCCAUUGUCUUUCAUACGUUGAUAAAUGAUUCCAUCCAAUCUCAUCCAGCAAUGACAGCUUCAUUUCGUAGAAUUUCUUCUUUGGUGGCUCUCCAUCAUCCUGAAUCAUGUCAUUUAGUACCUGCGACAAUAGCAGAUACUUGAGCUUAAGUUCCAGUACAGGGGAAACUAACCACAUUUGAAGUCAACUAAUGUUGUAUCGGAAAAUUACUUGUGAACAGCCUAAGGCAGUAACUAGCAUAAGCCUAAAAACAUAUUAAGGGAUAGAGAAUCAUUCCACAUUGUAUUCGAACAUUUUUUUUCCAAGCUGACAAGUGAUAUAAAGCAUUGACCAUCCAAGUUUCUUAC
rnacentral:lncRNA from 1 species